UGUUAUCCACAACCGUAACUUUUUAAUAGCAUCUAAAGCCCUAGGCUUAUAACCCAAAGUUGUUCAUGUUAGCCAUAGCCCAGAGUUGUUCAUAACAUCAAGAGCCCUUAGCUCAUGACCCAGAGUAGCCCAUGUUAUCCACAACCUAAAGCGGUUCAUAGCAUCUAGUGUUCUGAGCUCAUGAUCUAGAGUUAUUCAUGCCAAACAUAACUCAGACCUGUUCAUAGCAUUUAAAGCCCUGAUAUCAUGACUUAGAGUAGCUGAUGUCAUCCACAACCUGGAGCUAUUCAUAGCAUCUAGAGCCCUGAGCUCGUGACUUAGAGUAGCUAAUGUCAUCCACAAUCCUAAGUUAUUCUUAGCAUCAAGAGCCCUGAGUUGAUGACUUGUAGUCUUUUAUGUCAUCAACAACCCUAAGCUGUUAAUAACAUCUAGAGCUUUGAUUUCCUGACUAAGAGUUGUUCAUGUCAACCAUAGCAAAGAGUUAUUCAU
rnacentral:lncRNA from 1 species